AUUGAACGCUGGCGGCAUGCUUUACACAUGCAAGUCGAGCGGCAGCGCGGGGGCAACCCUGGCGGCGAGCGGCGAACGGGUGAGUAACGCAUCGGAACGUAUCCUGUAGUAGGGAAUAACUCAUCGAAAGGUGAGCUAAUACCGCAUAAGCUCUGAGGAGGAAAGCGGGGGACCGAAAGGCCUCGCGCUGCAGGAGCGGCCGAUGUCCGAUUAGCUAGUUGGUGAGGUAAAGGCUCACCAAGGCGACGAUCGGUAGCUGGUCUGAGAGGAUGAUCAGCCACACUGGGACUGAGACACGGCCCAGACUCCUACGGGAGGCAGCAGUGGGGAAUUUUGGACAAUGGGGGAAACCCUGAUCCAGCCAUGCCGCGUGAGUGAAGAAGGCCUCGGUUGUAAG
rnacentral:rRNA from 1 species